CGCCUUAUACUCCUACGGGAGGCAGCAGUGGGGAAUUUUGGACAAUGGGCGCAAGCCUGAUCCAGCAAUGCCGCGUGAGUGAAGAAGGCCUUCGGGUUGUAAAGCUCUUUUGUCAGGGAAGAAACGGGUCUUUCUAAUACAGAGAUCUAAUGACGGUACCUGAAGAAUAAGCACCGGCUAACUACGUGCCAGCAGCCGCGGUAAUACGUAGGGUGCAAGCGUUAAUCGGAAUUACUGGGCGUAAAGCGUGCGCAGGCGGUUGUGUAAGUCAGAUGUGAAAUCCCCGGGCUCAACCUGGGAAUUGCAUUUGAGACUGCACGGCUAGAGUGUGUCAGAGGGGGGUAGAAUUCCACGUGUAGCAGUGAAAUGCGUAGAUAUGUGGAGGAAUACCGAUGGCGAAGGCAGCCCCCUGGGAUAACACUGACGCUCAUGCACGAAAGCGUGGGGAGCAAACAGGAUUAGAUACCCCAGUAGUCCACGUACCA
rnacentral:rRNA from 1 species